UUCCGGUUGAUCCUGCCGGACCUGACUGCUAUCGGAUUGAUACUAAGCCAUGCGAGUCAUUGUAGCAAUACAAGGCAGACGGCUCAGUAACGCGUAGUCAACCUAACCUAUGGACGGGAAUAACCUCGGGAAACUGAGAAUAAUGCCCGAUAGAACACUAUGCCUGGAAUGGUUUGUGUUCCAAAUGAUUUAUCGCCGUAGGAUGGGACUGCGGCCUAUCAGUUUGUUGGUGAGGUAAUGGCCCACCAAGACUAUUACAGGUACGGGCUCUGAGAGGAGUGGCCCGGAGAUGGGUACUGAGACACGGACCCAGGCCCUAUGGGGCGCAGCAGGCGAGAAAACUUUGCAAUGUGCGAAAGCACGACAAGGUUAAUCCGAGUGGUUUCUGCUAAAGGAACCUUUUGUCGGUCCUAGAAACACCGAUGAAUAAGGGGUGGGCAAGUUCUGGUGUCAGCCGCCGCGGUAAAACCAGCACCUCAAGUGGUCAGGAUGAUUAUUGGGCCUAAAGCAUCCGUAGCCUGCUUUGUUAGUUUUCGGUUAAAUCUGUACGCUCAACGUACAGGCUGCCGGGAAUACUGCAAAGCUAGGGAGUGGGAGAGGUAGACGGUACUCGGUAGGAAGGGGUAAAAUCCUUUGAUCUAUUGAUGACCACCUGUGGCGAAGGCGGUCUACCAGAACACGUCCGACGGUGAGGGAUGAAAGCUGGGGGAGCAAACCGGAUUAGAUACCCGGGUAGUCCCAGCCGUAAACCAUGCAAACUCAGUGAUGCAUUGGCUUGUGGCCAAUGCAGUGCUGCAGGGAAGCCGUUAAGUUUGCCGCCUGGGAAGUACGUACGCAAGUAUGAAACUUAAAGGAAUUGGCGGGGGAGCACCACAAGGGGUGAAGCCUGCGGUUCAAUUGGAGUCAACGCCGGGA
rnacentral:rRNA from 1 species